rnacentral:lncRNA from 1 species
CUUGUCUUUUGUUCCUCAGUCUGUAUCAGGACAGUUGGUCCACUAUCUAAGUUAUUUCCGUCGUUGUCGUUUUUUUCUUUCUUAUUUCGUUGGUGUUUUUGCUUGACAUUUGAGGUUUUCAAUAUCUACUUUUGCGUUUAUUACAUUGACUAACUCUUAUGGACCCAUCACUCAGAACAUAUAUGAACCGUCUGAUGCAUGUCUAUAGAUAUAGAUGUAUGUGAUACAUAUAUGUUUAUGUAAAAAUGCAUAUCAUAAUU